rnacentral:rRNA from 4 species
GCGGCACUAGCGCGGUGGUCCCACCUGACCCCAUGCCGAACUCAGAAGUGAAACGCCGUAGCGCCGAUGGUAGUGUGGGGUCUCCCCAUGUGAGAGUAGGGAACUGCCAGGC